AAAAGUUAGCGCCAGAACAUAGUAAUAUUUAUUAACAAUGUUUUUUACAUACUAUGUUGACGAGGGUUCAGAGUUAUCGAAGUUUUCGGCGGAUGCUCUGAUGGGGAGUUACACUCAUUAUUGAUAUUACAAAAUUAAGUAGUGAUACUUAUUUACAAAAAAU
rnacentral:ncRNA from 1 species